rnacentral:rRNA from 1 species
AUGAAAAAACAGAGGGAUGAUCCAUUACUGCGUUUUGAAGGGGACACAGAUGUUGAGGAUAUGUGGUCUACAGAUGAGGAGGAGGAACUGUAUGAUCCAUCAGGUGAAGAAGAGGAUGAUGAUGAUCAAGAGGAGGAGGAAUUGGAGGAAUUGGAGGAAGUGGAGGAAGUGGUGCAAGGGGAGCAACACAAUGAAGAGGAGCAAGAGAAGAACACAAAGACAGAUAGUAGGGACAUUGACCCUCCAGUCUUCAAAGAACACAAAGGCAGAGCACAAACUAAGAGAAGAAAGGGCAGACAUGAGAAGCCGGCUCCAAAAGACACUUCAAGGAUGGCCUCAAUCACUUGUUCUAAUUGCAGCAAAGUUGGCCAUAGGUACACCAACUGCAAUGUUGCUUUGAAGCCUGCACUAGCCAUGAGAAAGAACAGGCAUGAGCCAAGCACCUCUUCUUAUCCACCUGAUGCUGCUACUGCACCAGCACCAGCAAGAAGGGCUGCAUCUACUGCCACUGCACCAGCACCAGCAAGAAGGGCUGCAUCUACUGCCACUGCACCAGCACCACCAAGAAGGGCUGCAUCUACUGCCACUGCACCAGCACCACCAAGAAGGGUUGCAUCUACUGCCACUUCACCAUCACCAGCAAGAAGAACUCCAUCUUCUGCCACUGCACCAUCAACAAGAUCUGCUACUGCUGCAAAGGGUAAGGCUACAACCACUAGGGCUUCAACUGCUGCAAAGGGUAAGGCUACAUCCACUAGGGCUUCAACUGCUGCAAAGGGAGCAAGGGCAGCUUUCUUGCCUCCAAGACCAAACAGUGGUUCCCAGAGAGUCAGAAAGCCAACCCAGAAGAUCAAGGACUACCUGACUGCUUCUGGUGCAGCAUGGGAUUGA